rnacentral:rRNA from 1 species
GAUGAACGCUGGCGGCGUGCCUAAUACAUGCAAGUCGAACGCAUUGUGGUUGAAAUGAUAUGAAGAACUUGUUCAGAUUUAAUUUUCAACAUUGCAAUGAGUGGCGAACGGGUGAGUAACACGUGGGAAACCUACCUCUUAGCAGGGGAUAACAUUUGGAAACAAAUGCUAAUAUCGUAUAAUAAUUAAAACCGCAUGGUUUUAGUUUAAAAGAUGGUCUUGCUAUCACUAAGAGAUGGUCCCGCGGUGUAUUAGUUAGUUGGUGAGGUAAUGGCUCACCAAGACAAUGAUACAUAGCCGAGUUGAGAGACUGACCGGCCACAAUGGGACUGAGACACGGCCCCAUACUCCUACGGGAGGCAGCAGUAGGGAAUCUUCCACAAUGGACGAAAGUCUGAUGGAGCAACGCCGCGUGU